AGAUCUUAGGAGGCCACGCACACCAACCAAUUCAACUCAUGCAACUUUCCAAUGAGACUACAUGGUUGUUUGAGUGUGGUUUCUGUCUUGAGUUCAUCCAACUAGAGCAAAGCUUGGUAAACCUUGUGAUAUGAGAUUUGCUGCUCAAAUUUUUGGCAACUUGAUAAUGGAUGACAUAAUGGAGCCAAUUGUAUAUUUGUUUUGUGUAAUUUAAUUUGCUGCUCAACUUUGUGUAAUUUAAUUUGCUGCUCAACUUAGCCAACCUUGUGUAAUUUAAUUUGCUGUAGUUUAAUUUGGCAGAUUUGAUUACUGCUGAACUUUGCUGUAAUUUAAUUUGCUGCUGAACUUCGCUGUAGUUUAAUUUGGCAGACUUGAUUACUGCUGAAAACUUUGCUAUAAUUUAAUUUGGCAGACUUGAUAA